GGAGGCAUAGCUCAGUGGCAGAGCACUUGACAGCAGGUGACGAGGUCCCCAGUUCAAAUUUAGGUGCCUCCU